rnacentral:rRNA from 1 species
UAGUCCACGCCGUAAACGAUGAUUACUCGUUGCAUGCAAUACACCGUAUGUGACUUAGCGAAAGCAUUAAGUAAUCCACCUGGGGAGUACGUUGGCAACAAUGAAACUCAAAGGAAUUGACGGGGGCCCGCACAAGCGGAGGAACAUGUGGUUUAAUUCGAUGAUACGCGAGGAACCUUACCUGGGCUACAAUGUGAGCGCUAUUUUGUGAAAGCAGAAGUUCCUUCGGGACGUGAAACAAGGUGCUGCAUGGCCGUCGUCAGCUCGUGCCGUGAGGUGUUGGGUUAAGUCCCGCAACGAGCGCAACCCCUAUUCUUAGUUGCCAGCACAUAAUGGUGGGGACUCUGGAAAGACUGCCGACGUAAGCCGCGAGGAAGGUGGGGACGACGUCAAAUCAUCAUGGGCCUUUAUGCCUAGGGGCUACACACGUGCUACAAUGGGCAGGGUACAGA